ACGAACGCUGGCGGCGUGCCUAAUACAUGCAAGUAGAACGCUGAAGGCGGAGCUUGCUUCUCCGGAUGAGUUGCGAACGGGUGAGUAACGCGUAGGUAACCUGCCUGGUAGCGGGGGAGAACUAUUGGAAACGAUAGCUAAUACCGCAUAAGAGUAGAUGUCGCAUGACAUUUGCUUAAAAGGUGCAACUGCACCACUACCAGAUGGACCUGCGUUGUAUUAGCUAGUUGGUGAGGUAACGGCUCACCAAGGCAACGAUACAUAGCCGACCUGAGAGGGUGAUCGGCCACACUGGGACUGGGACACGGCCCAGACUCCUACGGGAGGCAGCAGUAGGGGAUCUUCGGCAAUGGACGGAAGUCUGACCGAGCAACGCCGCGUGAGUGAAGAAGGUUUUCGGAUCGUAAAGCUCUGUUGUAAGAGAAGAACGAGUGUGAGAGUGGAAAGUUCACACUGUGACGGUAUCUUACCAGAAAGGGACGGCUAACUACGUG
rnacentral:rRNA from 1 species